rnacentral:rRNA from 1 species
GGAGCAGCAGUCGGAAUCUUGCACAAUGGCGAAGCCUGAUGCAGCAACACCGUGUGAGCGAUGAAGGCCUUAGGUCGUAAAGCUCUGUUUGCGAGGACGAGGGGCGAAGGGUUAAUAGCCCUUAGCCUGACGGUACUUGUACAGAAAGCCCCGGCUAACUACGUGCCAGCAGCCGCGGUAAUACGUAGGGGGCGAGCGUUGUCCGGAAUUAUUGGGCGUAAAGAGCGUGUAGGCGGCUUGGUAAGUCUGCUGUGAAACCUUGGGGCUCAACCCCAAGCGUGCAGUGGAUACUGUCAAGCUAGAGGAUGGUAGAGGCCAGUGGAAUUCCCAGUGUAGCGGUGAAAUGCGCAGAUAUUGGGAGGAACACCAGUAGCGAAGGCGGCUGGCUGGGCCACUCCUGACGCUGAGACGCGAAAGCUAGGGGAGCGAACAGGAUUAGAUACCCUGGUAGUCCUAGCCGUAAACGAUGAACACUAGGUGUGGGGGGAGUCGAAUCCCUCUGUGCCGAAGCUAACGCGUUAAGUGUUCCGCCUGGGGAGUACGGCCGCAAGGCUA